rnacentral:miRNA from 1 species
UUCCUUGCUAUUCCCAACUUGGU